ACGCUCGACACCUACGGGAGGCAGCAGUGGGGAAUAUUGCACAAUGGGGGAAACCCUGAUGCAGCGACGCCGCGUGAAGGAAGAAGUAUCUCGGUAUGUAAACUUCUAUCAGCAGGGAAGAAAGUGACGGUACCUGACUAAGAAGCCCCGGCUAACUACGUGCCACAGCCGCGGUAAUCUGAGCGGGCUGGCAAGGC
rnacentral:rRNA from 1 species